rnacentral:lncRNA from 1 species
UGUUGAGUUGUCCCACAUCGGAGGGAUUUGAGGUCCUUGGUCUCCUUAUAUGGCUUGGGCAAUCCUCACCUCAUAUGCUAGCUUUUGGGGUUGAGUUAGGCCCAAGGUCCAUUCUUAUCAUGGUAUCAGAGCCAGGUCCAUCCCAAUUAUAGGUCCUUGGUCUCCUUAUAUGGCUUGGGCGCUAGCUUUUGGGGUUGAGUUAGGCCCAAGCUCCAUUCUUAUCAUGGUAUCAGAGUCAGGCACAUCCCAAUUAUUGUUACCGAUGUUGGACCCCCAUUUAUGUUGUCCACGCUCCAGAGAUCUGGGCGUGAGGGGGGUGUUGAGUUGUCCCACAUCGGAG